UACGUAGGGUGCAAGCGUUGUCCGGAUUUAUUGGGCGUAAAGAGCGUGUAGGCGGUUUGGUAGGUCCGCUGUGAAAACUCGAGGCUCAACCUCGAGACGCCGGUGGAAACCAUCAGGCUAGAGUCCGGAAGAGGAGAGUGGAAUUCCUGGUGUAGCGGUGAAAUGCGCAGAUAUCAGGAGGAACACCGGUGGCGAAGGCGGUUCUCUGGGCCUGACCUGACGCUGAGGAGCGAAAGCGUGGGGAGCGAACAGG
rnacentral:rRNA from 1 species